CUGAGCACAGUGCUGUUGACAUCCAAGGCCUGGCCAACUAUGUCAUCAGUACGAUGGGAAAGCUGUGUGCUCCCGUGCGAGAUAAUGAUAUCAGAGAGUUAAAGGCUACUGGCAACAUCGUGGAGGUGCUGAGACAAAUAUUCCAUGUCCUGGACCUCAUGCACAUGGACAUGGCCAAUUUUACAAUUAUGAGUCUCAGACCACACCUUCAACGCCAGUUGGUGGAAUAUGAGAGAACCAAGUUCCAGGAAAUUUUGGAAGAAACUCCAAGAACUGUGCUAAGCACUAUUCAUUUCUUCAUUCAUUCAAGAUAUAUUUAUUGAGUGCCUCCUGUGUUUCAGACACUGCUUAGGUGCAGUGGAUACUGCAGCGAACAGAAUGGAAUACAG
rnacentral:sRNA from 1 species